rnacentral:lncRNA from 1 species
GGCCUUUUGAACACCUGCUAAUGUUUUUAUAAAUGUAUGGUUUAAUGUAACUGUGCAACAACAUUGCAAUUAAAUGUGCUAUGUAAAUGAUAACAGUUACUCCGCCCUCUCCAGUUGUAGACUCCUGGUGGAGGCAAGAACACUUCACACAAUUUCCCCUGAAAUUGUAACUUUUCUAGUUAUUAUUAUUAUUAUAGCAAAAUUUGCCACCCUAACUCCUCCCACAGUUUUUACACUACAUAGACCAAAAUUUACCAAAACGUGCAGAUUGUUCCC